rnacentral:lncRNA from 10 species
CAUUUAAAUCGAUUUUGAAAACUUCAUUGCCUUGGACCAAGUGUCUCCCCAUUGCCCUGCUCAGAAUUCAAACUGCCCCUCAAAAAGACAUUACGUACUUGGUCUAUCUUCUAUUCGAACUGCCCCUCAAAAAGACAUUACAUACUUGGUCUAUCUUCUACUUUGUCUUCUCUUAGGACCCAAGGUCUCUUAGCACAAACACUGCCUCUUGAGUUCCCAGUGCAUCUGUAUCAAUCUGGAGAUUACGUCCUCAUCAAAAGCUGGAAAGAAGAAAAACUCGAACCAACCUGGGAGACCUUAUCUAGUGCCCCUAACCACUGAGACAGCAGUCUGGACCGUUAAGAAAGGGUAGACCCAUCACACUCAGGUGAAAAAGGCAUGACCCCCUUUGGAGGCAUAGGUUGUCACUCCCGGGCCAACACCUUCCAAACUAAUAUUCAAAAAAACUUAACCUGUCUAAUUUGCUCCCUCUUUCUUUCGUUAGCUACCCAGGAACAUUUUAUUUUAUCAAUGUAACCUGAUCAUCGUUUCCUCAAACAAUUACAUUUGAUGCUUGUCUUGUUAUGCCCUGUGGGGACCUACAAACCCAAAGGCAACUAGCCUCUUCAGGCAAUAACAUACAGGACAUAGGAAUGGGCAA